rnacentral:rRNA from 1 species
AAUUGGACAAUGGGGGGAACCCUGAUCCAGCCAUGCCGCGUGUGUGAAGAAGGCCUUUUGGUUGUAAAGCACUUUAAGCGAGGAGGAGGCUACUCUAGUUAAUACCUAGAGAUAGUGGACGUUACUCGCAGAAUAAGCACCGGCUAACUCUGUGCCAGCAGCCGCGGUAAUACAGAGGGUGCAAGCGUUAAUCGGAUUUACUGGGCGUAAAGCGCGCGUAGGUGGCCAAUUAAGUCAAAUGUGAAAUCCCCGAGCUUAACUUGGGAAUUGCAUUCGAUACUGGUUGGCUAGAGUAUGGGAGAGGAUGGUAGAAUUCCAGGUGUAGCGGUGAAAUGCGUAGAGAUCUGGAGGAAUACCGAUGGCGAAGGCAGCCAUCUGGCCUAAUACUGACACUGAGGUGCGAAAGCAUGGGGAGCAAACAGGAUUAGAUACCCUGGUAGUCCAUGCCGUAAACGAUGUCUACUAGCCGUUGGGGCCUUUGAGGCUUUAGUGGCGCAGCUAACGCGAUAAGUAGACCGCCUGGGGAGUACGGUCGCAAGACUAAAACUCAAAUGAAUAGACGGGG